GGGAGGUCUUUUUAAAUAGGCAUAAGGAUUGAAUCCUAUUCAAUCUCAUCAUACAUGUCCUACUUGCAUUAGAAUUUCUAUUAACUUAAGUUAUCCAACUUACAUUAGGAAGUCCAUUAGGCGCCAACUAUUGGAGCCCUUGCACCCAUAAUUAGACACCCUCUUUUGCAUCCAAAAGAUACCUCAUAUGAAAACUAAAGGCCCUCUAAUUAAUGGAC
rnacentral:lncRNA from 1 species